AACUUUGCGUGGGGGGCGGAGAUUAGCUUUUAUAAGGCAGCCUGUGUAUGCGGUCUUUCUCUCUCCAUGUCUAUCCAAGGAGCAGACAGCCAUCUCCCAAGAUAAAGAUAACCUUUGCUUUCCACCUUGAGAAGUCUCUGAGUUUAAUUUGAGUUAGGAUCGCUGUCACGCACAGCAUCUUUAUCUUCCUUCCCACAGGAAAGAAAAAAGAUGAUGGACCAGAUGGCUUCUCAACCACCUCCACUGUCACAUAACAAGUGCAUAUCUUAGCUACUGAAGCCACGACUGAUUUGUUUUCCCCCUUGACAGGGAAAAAAAGAUUUCCCAAUCCUGACCUAUGCAUAUGGUCCAAACAAUAACCUGGAGACAGCUUUCACUCACGUGUAGUGGAAUGGGAAGUGCUGAAUUUAAGGCAGGUGACCUCAAGUUUGGAUUCUGCCUCUGUUACUUGUUUAUUUUCAGCCUAGGUGGGAGCAAUAUGAUGGAACCUUGGGGGACAUUAAAAAAUGGCACACUUAAAACUUUAAAGGACUUGAUAAUAGGCAUCAAAAAUGAAAUCACAACUAAGACGGUUUAGUUUAUGGAAUGUUUAUAAAAGCAUCUAGAAAACGG